rnacentral:lncRNA from 1 species
UCCUUUUCUUCUGGAAGACUCCACUCUUUCCUCAUGGCAAAUCUCAACGCCUUACUUUUUGUGCAUGAUAUAACAACAUGAUAUUCAUCUUCCUCCCCGUUCCCACAUAUGUCACACACACUAUCCUGAACAAUAGUACGCCUACAUAACAUGUAUAUUGUUGGAAAUAUGCCCUAGAGGCAAUAAUAAAAGGAUUAUUAUUAUAUUUCCUUCUUCAUGAUAAUUGUCUUUUAUUCAUGCUAUAAUUAUGUUAUCCGGAAAUCGUAAUACAUGUGUGAAUACAUAGACCACAAUAUGUCCGUAGUGAGCCUCUAGUUGACUAGCCCGUUGGUCAACAGAUAGUCAUGGUUUCCUGACUAUGGACAUUGGAUGUCAUUGAUAACAGGAUCACAUCAUUGGGUGAAUGAUGUGAUGGACAAGACCCAAUCCUAAGCAUAGCACAAGAUCGUGUAGUUCGUUUGCUAGAGCUUUUCCAAUGUCAAGUAUCUUUUCCUUAGACCAUGAGAUCGUGUAACUCCUGGAUAUCGUAGGAGUGCUUUGGGUGUACCAAACGUCACAACGUAAUUGGGUGACUAUAAAGGUAUACUACGGGUAUCUCCGAAAGUAUCUGUUCGGUUGACACGGAUCGAGACUGGGAUUUGUCACUCCGUAUGACGGAGAGGUAUCUCUGGGCCCACUCGGUAAUGCAUCAUCAUAAUGAGCUCAAAGUGACCAAGUGUCUGGUCACGGGAUCAUGCAUUACAGUACGAGUAAAGUGACUUGCCGGUAACGAGAUUGAACGAGGUAUUGGGAUACCGAUGAUCGAAUCUCGGGCAAGUAACAUACCGAUUGACAAAGGGAAUUGUAUACGGGGUUGCUUGAAUCCUCGACAUCGUGGUUCAUCCGAUGAGAUCAUCGAGGAGCAUGUGGGAUCCAACAUGGGUAUCCACAUCCCGCUGUUGGUUAUAGACCGGAGAGUCAUCUCGGUCAUGUCUACGUGUCUCCCGAACCCGUAGGGUCUACACACUAAAGGUUCGGUGACGCUAGGGUUGUAGAGAUAUUAGUAUGCAGCAAACCGAAAGUUGUUCGGAGUCUCGGAUGAGAUCCCGGACGUCAAGAGGACUUUCGGAAUGGUCCGGAGGUAAAGAAUUAUAUAUGGGAAGUCGAGUUUCGGCCAUCAGGAAAGUUUCAGGGGUCACCGGUAUUGUACCGGGACCACCGGAAGGGUCCCGGGGGUCCACCGGGUGGGGCCACCCAUCCUGGAGGGCCCCAUGGGCUGAAGUGGGAGGGGAACCAGCCCCUGGUGGGCUGGUGCGCCCCCUCCCCCUUGGGCCCUCCUGCGCCUAGGGUUGGGAACCCUAGGGGAGGGGGCGCCUCCACUUGCCUUGGGGGGCAAGGCACCCCCUUGGCCGCCGCCCCACUUGGAGAUUCAAUCUCCUAGGGCCGGCGCCCCCCUUGGGGACCCUAUAUAAAGAGGAGGGAGGAAGGGCAGCCGCACCCUUGCACUUGGUGCCUCCCUUCCCCCUUGCUACACCUCUUCCUCCCGCAGAUGCUUGGCGAAGCCCUGCCGGGAUCCCUGCUGCAUCCACCACCACGCCGUCGUGCUGCUGGAUCUUCGUCAACCUCUCCUUCCCCCUUGCUGGAUCAAUAUGGAGGAGACGUCUCGCUGACUGUACGUGUGUUGAACGCGGAGGUGCCGUCCGUUCGGCGCUAGGAUCUCCCGUGAUUUGGAUCACGACGAGUACGACUCCCUCAACCCCGUUCUCUUGAACGCUUCCGCUCGAUCUACAAGGGUAUGAAGAUGCACUCCUCUCUCUCAUUGCUAGAUGAACUUAUAGAUUGAUCUUGGUGAAACCAUAGAAUUUUUUUUAUUUUCUGCAACGUUCCCCAACAAUGGUAUCAGAGCUAGGUCUAUGUGUAGUUCUCUUUGCACGAGUAGAACACAAAUUUGUUGUGGGCAUAGAUGUUGUCAACUUUCUUGCCACUACUAGUCUUAUUUUGUUUCAGCGGUAUUGUGGGAUGAAGCGGCCCGGACCGACCUUAUACGUACGCUUACGUGAGACAGGUUCCACCGACUGACAUGCACUAGUUGCGUAAGGUGGCUAGCGGGUGUUUGUCUCUCCCACUUUAGUUGGAGCAGAUUCGAUGAAAAGGGUCCUUAUGAAGGGUAAAUAGAAGUUGACAAAUCACGUUGUGGCUUUUACGUAGGUAAGAAAACGUUCUUGCUAGAACCCUAUUGCAGCCACGUAAAAUAUGCAACAACAAUUAGAGGACGUCUAACUUGUUUUUGCAGCAUAUGAUUUGUGAUGUGAUAUGGCCAAAAGUUGUGAUGAAUGAUGAAUGAUAUAUUGUGAUGUAUGAGAUCAUGUUCUUGUAAUAGGAAUCACGACUUGCAUGUCGAUGAGUAUGACAACCGGCAGGAGCCAUAGGAGUUGUCUUAAUUAUUGUAUGACCUGCGUGUCAAUGAUUUAACGCCAUGUAAUUACUUUACUUUAUUGCUAAACCAUUAGCCAUAGUAGUAGAAGUAAUAGUUGGCAAGCAACUUCAUGAAGACACGAUGAUGGAGAUCAUGGUGUCAUGCCGGUGACGAAGAUGAUCAGGAGCCCCGAAGAUGGACAUCAAAGGAGCUAUAUGAUAUUGGCCAUAUCAUGUCAUUGUUUAAUUGCAUGUGAUGUUUAUUAUGUUUAUGCAUCUUGUUUACUUAGAACGAUGGUAGUAAAUAAGAUGAUCCCUCAUAAUAAUUUCAAGAAAGUGUUCCCCCUAACUGUGCACCGUUGCGAAAGUUCGUCGUUUUGAAGCACCAUGUGAUGAUCGGAUGUGAUAGAUUCUAACGUUCACAUGCAACAGGUGUAAGACAGAUUUACACACGCAUAAACACUUAGGUUAACUUGACGAGCCUAGCAUGUACAGACAUGGCCUCGGAACACAAGAGACCGAAAGGUCGAACAUGAGUCGUAUGGAAGAUACGAUCAAUAUGGAGAUGUUCACCGAUGAUGACUAGUCCGUCUCACGUGAUGAUCGGACACGACCUAGUCAACUCGGAUCAUGUAUCACUUAGAUGACUAGAGGGAUGUCUAAUCUGAGUGGGAGUUCAUUAAAUAAUUUGAUUAGAUGAACUUAAUUAUCAUGAACUUAGUCUAAAAUCUUUGCAAAAAUGUCUUGUAGAUCAAAUGGCCAACGCUCAUGUCAACAUGAACUUCAACGCGUUCCUAGAGAAAACCAAGCUGAAAGAUGAUGACAGCAACUAUACGGACCGGGUCCGGAACCUAAGGAUCAUCCUCAUAGCUUCCAAGAAAGCAUAUGUCUAGAAGGACCGCUAGGUGAAGCACCCAUCCCAGAGAACCAAGACAUUAUGAACACUUGGCGGUCACGUGCUGAUGAUUACUCCCUCAUUCAGUGCGGCAUGCUUUACAGCUUAGAACCGAGGCUCCAAAAGCGUUUUGAGCAACACGGAGCAUAUGAGAUGUUCGAGGAGCUGAUAAUGGUUUUCCAUGCUCAUGCCCGGGUCGAGAGAUAUGAAGUCUCCGACAAGUUCUAUAGUUGUAAGAUGGAGGAAAAUAGUUCUGUCAGUGAGCACAUACUCAAAAUGUCUGGGUUGCACAACCGCCUGUCCCAGCUGGACAUUAACCUCCCGGAUGAGGCGGUCAUUAACAGAAUCCUUCGGUCGCUCCCACCGAGCUACAAGAGCUUUGUGAUGAAUUACAAUAUGCAGGGGAUGGUGAAAACUAUUCCUGAAGUAUUUUCAAUGCUGAAGUCAGCAGAGGUAGAAAUCAAAAAGGAACAUCAAGUGUUGAUGGUCAAUAAAACCACUAAGUUCAAGAAAGGCAAGGGUAAGAAGAACUUCAAGAAGGAAGGCAAGGAUGUUGCCACGCCCAGUAAGCUAGUUGCCAGGAAGAAGUCAAAGAAUGGAUCCAAGCCUGAGACUGAGUGCUUUUAUUGCAAAGGGAAGGGUCACUAGAAGCGGAACUGCCCCAAAUACUUAGCGGACAAGAAGGCCGGCAACACUAAAGGUAUAUGUGAUAUACAUGUAAUUGAUGUGUAUCUUACUAGUGCUCGUAGUAGCUCCUGGGUAUUUGAUACCGGUGCCGUUGCUCAUAUUUGUAACUCAAAGCAGGAGCUGCGGAAUAAGUGGAGACUGGCGAAGGACGAGGUGACGAUGCACGUCGGGAAUGGUUCAAGGUCGAUGUGAUCGCCGCCGGCACGCUACCUCUACAUAUACCUACGGGAUUAGUUUUAAACCUCAAUAAUUGUUAUUUAGUGCCAAGUUUGAGCAUGAACAUUGUAUCAGGAUCUCGUUUAAUACGAGAUGGCUACUCAUUUAAAUCAGAGAAUGAUGGUUGUUCUAUUUAUAUGAGAGAUAUGUUUUUUGGUCAUGCCCCGAUGGUCAAUGGUUUAUUCUUAAUGAAUCUCGAACGUAAUGUUACACAUAUUCAUAGUGUGAAUACCAAAAGAUGUAAAGUUGAUAACGAUAGUCCCACAUACUUGUGGCACUGCUGCCUUGGUCACAUUGGUGUCAAGCGCAUGAAGAAGCUCCAUGCUGAUGGACCUUUAGAGUUUCUCGAUUAUGAAUCAUUUGACACAUGCGAACCAUGCCUCAUGGGCAAAAUGACCAAGACUCUGUUCUCCGGAACAAUGGAGCGAGCAACCAACUUAUUGGAAAUCAUACAUACCGAUGUGUGCGGUCCAAUGAGCAUUGAGGCUCGCGGAGUAUAUCAUUAUGUUCUCACUCUCACUGGUGACUUGAGUAGAUAUGGGUAUGUCUACUUGAUGAAACACAAGUCUGAGACCUUUGAAAAGUUCAAGGAAUUUCAGAAUGAGGUAGAGAAUCAACGUGACCGAAAAAUAAAGUUCUUACGAUCAGAUCGUGGAGGAGAAUAUUUAAGUCACGAAUUUGGUACACACUUAAGGAAAUGUGAAACCGUUAUACAACUCACGCCGCCUGGAACACCUCAGCUUAACGGUGUGUCCGAACGUCGUAAUCGCACUUUAUUGGAUAUGGUGCGAUCUAUGAUGUCUCUUACCGAUUAACCGCUAUCUUUUUGGGGAUACGCUCUAGAGACAGCUACAUUCACUUUAAAUAAGGCACCAUCUAAAUCCGUUGAGACGACACCGUAUGAAUUAUGGUUGGGAAGAAACCUAAGCUAUCGUUUCUAAAAGUUUGGGGAUGUGAUGCUUAUGUCAAGAAACUUCAACCUGAAAAGCUCGAACCCAAGUCGGAAAAAUGCGUCUUCAUAGGAUGCCCUAAGGAAACCAUUGGGUAUACCUUCUACCUCAGAUCCGAAGGCAAGAUCUUUGUUGCCAAGAACGGGUCCUUUCUGGAGAAAGAGUUUCUCUCGAAAGGAGUAAGUGGGAGGAAAGUUGAACUCGAUGAAGUACUACCUCUUGAACCGGAAAGUAGGGCAGCUCAGGAAAUUGUUCCUAUGGUGCCUACACCGACUGGAGAGGAAAUUAAUGAUGAUGAUCAAGGUACUUCGGACCAAGUUGCUACUGAACUUCGUAGGUCCACAAGGACACGUUCCACACCAGAGUGGUAUGGCAAUCCUGUCCUGGAAAUCAUGUUGUUAGACAACGGUGAACCUUCGAACUAUGAAGAAGCGAUGGCUGGCCCAGAUUCCAAAAAAUGGCUUGAAGCCAUGCAAUCCGAGAUAGGAUCCAUGUAUGAAAAUUAAGUAUGGACUUUGACAGACUUGCCCGAUGAUCGGCGAGCGAUAGAAAACAAAUGGAUCUUUAAGAAGAAGAGGGACGCGGAUGGUAAUGUUACCAUCUAUAAAGCUCGACUUGUCGCUAAGGGUUAUCGACAAGUUCAAGGGGUUGACUACGAUGAGACAUUCUCUCCCGUAGCGAAGCUAAAGUCCGUCCGAAACAUGUUAGCAAUUGCCGCAUACUAUGAUUAUAAGAUAUGGCAGAUGGACGUCAAAACGGCAUUCCUUAACGGACAUCUUAAGGAAGAACUGUAUAUGAUGCAGCCGGAAGGUUUUGUCGACCCUGAGAAUGCUAACAAGGUAUGCAAGCUCUAGCGAUCCAUUUAUGGACUGGUGCAAGCAUCUCGGAGUUGGAACAUUCGCUUUGAUGAGAUGAUCAAAGCAUUUGGGUUUAUGCAGACUUAUGGAGAAGCCUGCGUUUACAAGAAAGUGAGUGGGAGCUCUGUAGCAUUUCUCAUAUUAUAUGUAGAUGACAUACUUUUGAUGGGAAAUGAUAUAGAACUUUUGGACAGCAUUAAGGCCUACUUGAAUAAGUGUUUUUCAAUGAAGGACCUUGGAGAAGCUGCUUACAUAUUAGGCAUCAAGAUCUAUAGGGAUAGAUCGAGACGCCUCAUAGGUCUUUCACAAAGCACAUACCUUGAUAAGAUAUUGAAGAAGUUCAAUAUGGAUCAGUCCAAGAAAGGGUUCUUGCCUGUAUUGCAAGGUGUGAGAUUGAGCUCGACUCAAUGUCCGACCACGGUAGAAGAUAAAGAAGAGAUGAGUGUCAUCCCCUAUGCCUCAGCCAUAGGGUCUAUUAUGUAUGCCAUGCUGUGUACCAAACCUGAUGUAAACCUUGCCGUAAGUUUGGUAGGAAGGUACCAAAGUAAUCCCAGCAAGGAACACUGGACAGCGGUCAAGAAUAUCCUGAAGUACCUGAAAAGGACAAAGGACAUGUUUCUCGUUUAUGGAGGUGACGAAGAGCUCGUCGUAAAGGGUUACGUCGAUGCUAGCUUCGACACAGAUCUAGAUGACUCUAAGUCACAAACCGGAUACGUGUAUAUGUUGAAUCGUGGAGCAGUAAGCUGGUGCAAUUGUAAGCAGAGCGUCAUGGCGGGAUCUACAUGUGAAGCGGAGUACAUGGCAGCCUCGGAGGCAGCGCAUGAAGCAAUAUGGAUGAAGGAGUUCAUCACCAACCUAGGAGUCAUACCCAAUGCGUCGGGGCCGAUCACUCUCUUCUGUGACAACACUGGAGUUAUUGCCCUUGCCAAGGAGCCCAGGUUUCACAAGAAGACCAGGCACAUCAAGCGCGUUUCAACUCCAUCCGUGAAAAUGUUCAAGAUGGAGACAUAGAUAUUUGCAAAGUACAUACGGAUCUGAAUGUCGCAGAUCCGUUGACUAAACCUCUCUCGCGAGCAAAACAUGAUCAACACCAGAACUCUAUGGGUGUUCGAUUCAUCACAAUGUAACUAGAUUAUUGACUCUAGUGCAAGUGGGAGACUGUUGGAAAUAUGCCCUAGAGGCAAUAAUAAAAGGAUUAUUAUUAUAUUUCCUUGUUCAUGAUAAUUGUCUUUUAUUCAUGCUAUAAUUGUGUUAUCCCAAAAUUGUAAUACAUGUGUGAAUACAUAGACCACAAUAUGUCCCUAGUGAGCCUCUAGUUGACUAGCCCGUUGAUCAACAGAUAGUCAUGGUUUCCUGACUAUGGACAUUGGAUGUCAUUGAUAAUGGGAUCACAUCAUUGGGUGAAUGAUGUGAUGGACAAGACCCAAUCCUAAGCAUAGCACAAGAUCGUGUAGUUCGUUUGCUAGAGCUUUUCCAAUGUCAAGUAUCUUUUCCUUAGACCAUGAGAUCGUGUAACUCCCGGAUACCGUAGGAGUGCUUUGGGUGUACCAAACGUCACAACGUAAUUGGGUGACUAUAAAGGUAUACUACGGGUAACUCCGAAAGUAUCUGUUGGGUUGACACGGAUCGAGACUGGGAUUUGUCACUCCGUAUGACGGAGAGGUAUCUCUGGGCCCACUCGGUAAUGCAUCAUCAUAAUGAGCUCAAAGUGACCAAGUGUCUGGUCACGGGAUCAUGCAUUACGGUACGAGUAAAGUGACUUGCCGGUAACGAGAUUGAACGAGGUAUUGGGAUACCGACGAUCGAAUCUCGGGCAAGUAACAUACUGAUUGACAAAGGGAAUUGUAUACGGGGUUGCUUGAAUCCUCGACAUCGUGGUUCAUCCGAUGAGAUCAUCGAGGAGCAUGUGGGAUCCAACAUGGGUAUCUAGAUCCCGUUGUUGGUUAUUGACCGGAGAGCCAUCUCGGUCAUGUCUACGUGUCUCCCAAACCCGUAGGGUCUACACACUUAAGGUUCGGUGAUGCUAAGGUUGUAGAGAUAUUAGUAUGCAGCAAACCGAAAGUUGUUCGUAGUCCCGGAUGAGAUCCCGGACGUCACCAGGAGUUCCGGAAUGGUCCAGAGGUAAAGAAUUGUAUAUGGGAAGUCAAGUUUCGGCCAUCGGGACAGUUUCGGGGGUCACCGGUAUUGUACCGGGACCACCGGAAGGGUCCUGGGGGUCACCGGGUGGGGCCACCCAUCCUGGAGGGCCGCAUGGGCUGAAGUGGGAGGGGAACCAGCCCCUGGUGCGCUGGUGUGCCCCCCCCCUUGGGCCCCCCUGCGCUUACGGUUGGGAACCCUAGGUGAGGGGGCGCCUCCACUUGCCUUGGGGGGCAAGGCACCCCCUUGGCCGCCGCCCCCCGUUGGAGAUUCAAUCUCCUAGGGCCGGCGCCCCCUAGGGACCCUAUAUAAAGAGGGGGGAGGGAGGGCAGCCGCACCCUUGCACUUGGCGCCACCCUUCCCCCUUGCUACACCUCUCCCUCCCGCAGACGCUUGGCGAAGCCCUGCCGGGAUCCCUGCUGCAUUCACCACCACGCCGUCGUGCUGCUGGAUCUUCAUCAACCUCUCCUUCCCCCUUGCUGGAUCAAGAAGGAGGAGACGUCUCGCUGACCGUACGUGUGUUUAACGCGGAGGUGCCGUCCGUUCGGCACUAGGAUCUCCGGUGAUUUGGAUCACGACGAGUACGACUCCCUCAACCCCGUUUCCUUGAACACUUCUGCUCGAUCUACAAGGGUAUGUAGAUGCACUCCUCUCUCUCAUUGCUAGAUGAACUCAUAGAUUGAUCUUGGUGAAACCGUAAAAAAAAAAUAUUUUCUGCAACGUUCCCCAACAUAUAUUUGCCUCAAAAUCAGAAUGGAUGGUAGAAUUACAUAACAGUUGCUUUUCCAUUUCCGAGAUACAACUUUCUGAAGGAACUAUGUCAAUGAUUCCCACAGAAAAUAUAGCGUCCGAUACUGGGAAAUGUAAUAGCACACUAAGUCAUAAUUCUUAAUGCUUCGGAAUCUGGAGAGUAUUAUUUCUUUUAAAAAAUGGACAAAGCAAAUGAGCAUGGUCCAAUGCUGGUUCUGCAACUUCUAUUUUACGCGUGUUUUUAUAAAUAAUUUACCGGAAACACAAAGGAAGACAAUAUGUUUGAGUAGGUAACAAUAUGUUUUAGAAGAUGAUGACUUCCUAAUAUUUAAGCACAUAACUGAAAUUUACUGAACCGUGGGAGAUGGAUCGGCAGUAUAGUAGAAGAAUAAACAAAUAGAUUUUAUUUUAUUUUCCACAUCCUACAUGUCAACAAUGAGAAGUUCCUUGAGAACCAAUCUUACAACAUUGAAUAAGAGGGGAAAGAAAUAUGACAAUUUAAUGGCUCAUCGACCCUGCAAGUUGGCAGCAUCCCAAGUGAUGAUCAAUUUUAAACACAAUCUUUAACUACAAGAAUGACAACACUACAAUUCAUCAUUUGUUUGUUCCGGGCAUUUCUACCCUGAAUAAGAGAUAAUAGAAGGACAAACUUAAAGUAUGCUAAUGCGGUGUAGUGCCAUCAGGCAUGGAUAACUAUACAAGGAAAAACCCAUGUUCUAGGCAUUUUUUACCCCGAAUGAUGCAUGGAACAACCAAUAAUAAACAUAUUAGGAAAAUUAUGCAUCUCUCUUUGUCCAUAAUAAGGUUCGUCUCUACUACCAAAUCAUUCGGCCGCCACUCUGUCCACCUGGGGAGUGCGCUAGCAUUAGUAGCAUGUAUCUAAACUCUGAUUACCGGCUCAUACAUUCAUUAACAAUAAUGCUGGUGCAGAGAGAACUCACUUGUGGUGAGAAACUGAAGAAGUGUUGGCGAAGGGUUGAGGGAGCUCGAAGGGAUUGGUACCACUGACCAAGUUGUGCUUCAUUACAAUCCCUAGAAAACUUCAGAAAGGAUGUUUCUGUCCACCCACAUAAAUCAAAAGGUAAAUCUAUGAUUGCGCGGCA